rnacentral:rRNA from 1 species
GUGCCAGCAGCCGCGGUAAUACCGGCAGCCCGAGUGAUGGCCGAUCUUAUUGGGCCUAAAGCGUCCGUAGCUGGCCGCGCAAGUCCAUCGGAAAAUCCACCCGCCCAACGGGUGGGCGUCCGGUGGAAACUGUGUGGCUUGGGACCGGAAGGCGCGACGGGUACGUCCGGGGUAGGAGUGAAAUCCCGUAAUCCUGGACGGACCGCCGAUGGCGAAAGCACUUCGAGAAAACGGAUCCGACAGUGAGGGACGAAAGCUAAGAUCGCGAACCGGAUUAGAAACCCCGGUAGUCC